UACGUAGGGUGCGAGCGUUGUCCGGAAUUAUUGGGCGUAAAGAGCUUGUAGGCGGUUUGUCGCGUCUGCUGUGAAAAUCCGGGGCUCAACCCCGGACUUGCAGUGGGUACGGGCAGACUAGAGUGUGGUAGGGGAGACUGGAAUUCCUGGUGUAGCGGUGAAAUGCGCAGAUAUCAGGAGGAACACCUAUUGCGAAGGCAGCUCGCUGGGACGUUACUGACGCUGAGACGCGAAAGCGUGGGGAGCAAACAGG
rnacentral:rRNA from 1 species